AAUCCAGCUACCCCCAAACCCUAAAGACCAGCCCAGAUUCCUUCGACUCCCUCUCUCACCCUUAGCCUUAAACCACCGCCGAAAAUCGCCCACGGCGGUGGCACAUCACCAGAUAACCCCAAACUAAUACCCUACAGCCUCCAUCCUCCCCUCAGUCAAAUCCCUCAAUAAUUUUCCCAAAAAAAUUGCCUAAACUCCAUGAAUUCCAAAUUUAGAAAUCGUAAAAACCCUAAAGUUUUCCUUUUGUUUGAUUUGUCCUUAUUUUGGCUCAUUUGGGAUCGAAACCUACAUCAGUCGACUUCUAUUGACAAUUGCACGAUUUUGUUGAUUUCAUUGCCACAAAACCUUGGUCAAGCUCCUCUGGAUUGCGUAGUUCAUCCCCACCUUGCCUCGCUUCUUUAUCGGGCCAGCAAGAGAUAUUUGUUGCAUACCAGCACUGUCUCGUAUGGAGAAAUCCGGCCAGUGUGUGUGUGUGGCAAUUUCUCCGUCUUGCCGGAAAUCCUUUUUCUUCUCACAAUCCAUUGGAGCACUUAGACCCAAAUGUUGUAGACUUCGGACCGUAGUAAGAUUGCUGAUUCUGGUUCAUCAAGCGACCCGAGGUAGUCCUACAGGCGUUCUCAGGCCUUGACGUCUCAUUCUAUGUACUAUUCAUGUUUCUUUCAUGUAUUUCCAGAGACAAUGUUGUAUUUAUUUCUUUCAACCUGUAUGUGUAGUACUCUUAGACCGUAUGUCAAACUGUGACACUAGUUCUGGGUAGUCGAUGCUCAAACAGUUGUAUUAGACACAUAUUCAGAUAAUUUAUUGCUUUCUUCCACUUA